ACUCCUGCGGGAGGCAGCAGUGGGGAAUAUUGGACAAUGGGCGCAAGCCUGAUCCAGCCAUGCCGCGUGAGUGAUGAAGGCCCUAGGGUUGUAAAGCUCUUUCACCGGUGAAGAUAAUGACGGUAACCGGAGAAGAAGCCCCGGCUAACUUCGUGCCAGCAGCCGCGGUAAUACGAAGGGGGCUAGCGUUGUUCGGAUUUACUGGGCGUAAAGCGCACGUAGGCGGACUAUUAAGUCAGGGGUGAAAUCCCGGGGCUCAACCCCGGGACUGCCUUUGAUACUGGUAGUCUUGAGUUCGAGAGAGGUGAGUGGAAUUCCGAGUGUAGAGGUGAAAUUCGUAGAUAUUCGGAGGAACACCAGUGGCGAAGGCGGCUCACUGGCUCGAUACUGACGCUGAGGUGCGAAAGCGUGGGGAGCAAACAGGAUUAGAAACCCUAGUAGUCCCAU
rnacentral:rRNA from 1 species